UACGGAGGGUGCGAGCGUUGUCCGGAAUCACUGGGCGUAAAGGGCGCGUAGGUGGUUCUGUAUGUCUACCGUGAAAGCAUACAGCUCAACUGUAUUUUGUCGGUAGAAACUGCAGGACUUGAGGCUGGGAGGGGCUGGUGGAAUUCCCUGUGUAGCGGUGAAAUGCGUAGAGAUGGGGGAGAACACUCGUGGCGAAGGCGGCCAGCUAGACCAGUUCUGACACUGAGGCGCGACAGCGUGGGGAGCAAACAGG
rnacentral:rRNA from 1 species